UGGGGAAUAUUGGACAAUGGGCGAAAGCCUGAUCCAGCCAUGCCGCGUGUGUGAAGAAGGUCUUCGGAUUGUAAAGCACUUUAAGUUGGGAGGAAGGGUUGUAGAUUAAUACUCUGCAAUUUUGACGUUACCGACAGAAUAAGCACCGGCUAACUCUGUGCCAGCAGCCGCGGUAAUACAGAGGGUGCAAGCGUUAAUCGGAAUUACUGGGCGUAAAGCGCGCGUAGGUGGUUUGUUAAGUUGGAUGCGAAAGCCCCGGGCUCAACCUGGGAACUGCAUUCAAAACUGACUGACUAGAGUAUGGUAGAGGGUGGUGGAAUUUCCUGUGUAGCGGUGAAAUGCGUAGAUAUAGGAAGGAACACCAGUGGCGAAGGCGACCACCUGGACUGAUACUGACACUGAGGUGCGAAAGCGUGGGGAGCAAACAGGAUUAGAUACCCCUGUAGUCCUGAGCGGGCUGGCAAGGCGCAU
rnacentral:rRNA from 1 species